rnacentral:rRNA from 1 species
GGCGGUUAUAUAAGACAGAUGUGAAAUCCCCGGGCUCAACCUGGGAACUGCAUCCAAAACUGGCGAGCUAGAGUAUGGUAGAGGGUGGUGGAAUUUCCUGUGUAGCGGUGAAAUGCGUAGAUAUAGGAAGGAACACCAGUGGCGAAGGCGACUUACUGGUCUGUGAUUGACGCUGAGGCUCGAAAGCGUGGGUAGCAAACAGGAUUAGAUACCCUGGUAGUCCACGCCGUAAACGAUGAGUGCUAGGUGUUGGGGGGUUUCCGCCCCUCAGUGCCGGAGUUAACGUAUUAAGCACUCCGCCUGGGGAGUACGACCGCAAGGUUGAAACUCAAAGGAAUUGACGGGGG